UCAGUAACACGUAGUCAACCUGCCCUUGGGACGAGAACAACCUCGGGAAACUGAGGCUAAUACUCGAUAUGUGGGAGCGUCUGGAAUGGUCUUCCGCUGAAAAGGCGCAUGAUACAUGCACUAUGCGUUGCCCAAGGAUGGGACUGCGGCCGAUCAGGUAGUUGGUAAGGUAACGGCUUACCAAGCCUAUAACCGGUACGGGCCCUGAGAGGGGAAGCCCGGAGAUGGGAACUGGGACAAGGUCCUAGGUCCUACGGGGCGCAGCAGGCGCAAAAACUUCGCAAUGCGCGAAAGCGCGACGAGGUUAUCCCUGAGUGCCGUCUGAAAGGAUGGCUUUUCAUUCGACGUAAACAGUCGGUGGAAUAAGAAGGGGGGGCAAGACUGGUGUCAGCCGCUGCGGGAACCUUCAGGCCCAUCGAGAUGGUGGGGACUUUUAAUUGGGCCUAAAGCGUCCGUAGCUGGGUUGUUUCCGUCCCCCGUUAAAUCCAACGUCCCAAGCGUUGAACUUGCGGGUAAAUACCAAACAGCUAGAGGGUGGGAAGAGGUAACCGGUUUUUUUCUGGGGUAGGGGCCGAAAAUCUUUUGAUCCCAGGGGGGACCACCAGUGGCGAAAGGCUUGCUGGACUAGAACACGCCUGACGGUCAGGGCCGAAAGCUGGGGUAGCGAACCGAAUUAGAUACCCGGUUAGUCCUAGCUGUAAACGAUGGCUCGCUAGGGUGUUGGGUCGGCCCAUGCGCCGGCCCCAGUGCCGCAGGGCAAGCUGUUAAGCGAGCCGCCUGGGAGUACGGCCGCAAAGCUGAAACUUAA
rnacentral:rRNA from 1 species